UUAAAUUGAAGAGUUUGAUCAUGGCUCAGAUUGAACGCUGGCGGCAGGCCUAACACAUGCAAGUCGAACGGUAACAGAAAGCAGCUUGCUGCUUUGCUGACGAGUGGCGGACGGGUGAGUAAUGUCUGGGAAACUGCCUGAUGGAGGGGGAUAACUACUGGAAACGGUAGCUAAUACCGCAUAACGUCGCAAGACCAAAGAGGGGGACCUUCGGGCCUCUUGCCAUCGGAUGUGCCCAGAUGGGAUUAGCUAGUAGGUGGGGUAAAGGCUCACCUAGGCGACGAUCCCUAGCUGGUCUGAGAGGAUGACCAGCCACACUGGAACUGAGACACGGUCCAGACUCCUACGGGAGGCAGCAGUGGGGAAUAUUGCACAAU
rnacentral:rRNA from 1 species